GGGCGCAGGAUAUUUGAGAGGAGCUGUCCCUAGUACGAGAGGACCGGGAUGGACGAACCUCUGGUGUACCAGUUGUCGUGCCAACGGCAUCGCUGGGUAGCUAAGUUCGGAAGGGAUAACCGCUGAAAGCAUCUAAGCGGGAAGCCCACCUCAAGAUAAGAUAUCCCUCCUGAUGGAGACAUCAGGACUGAAGACCCCUCGUAGACCACGAGGUUGAUAGGUCAGGUGUGCAAGCACAGUAAUGUGUUGAGCUUACUGAUACUAAUCGGUCGUGAGGCUUGACCAU
rnacentral:rRNA from 1 species